rnacentral:tRNA from 1 species
GGGAAUGUGGCUUAGUGGUAGAGUGCUUGCCUAACAUGCAUGAAGCCUUGGAUUCAAUUCCUCAGUACCA